rnacentral:rRNA from 1 species
GAUGAACGCUGGCGGCGUGCCUAAUACAUGCAAGUCGAGCGAACAGACGAGGAUCUUGCUCCUCUUCCGUUAGCGGCGGACGGGUGAUUAACACGUGGAUAACCUACCUAUAAGACUGGGAUAACUUCGGGAAACCGGAUCUAAUACCGGAUAAUAUAUUGAACCGCAUGGUUCAUUAGUGAAAGACGGUUUUGCUGUCACUUAUAGAUGGAUCCUCGCCGCAUUAGCUAGUUGGUAAGGUAACGGCUUACCAAGGCGACGAUGCGUAGCCGACCUGAGAGGAUGAUCGGCCACACUGGAACUGAGACACGGUCCAGACUCCUACGGGAGGCAGCAGUAGGGAAUAUUGCGCAAUGGGCGAAAGCCUGACGGAGCAACGCCGCGUGAGUGAUGAAGGUCUUCGGAUCGUAAAACUCUGUUAUUAGGGAAGAACAAAUGUGAAAGUAACUAUGCACGUCUUGACGGUACCUAAUCAGAAAGCCACGGCUAGCUACGUG